rnacentral:rRNA from 1 species
UACGAAGGGUGCAAGCGUUACUCGGAAUUACUGGGCGUAAAGCGUGCGUAGGCGGUUUGUUAAGUCUGUCGUGAAAGCCCCGGGCUCAACCUGGGAAUGGCGAUGGAUACUGGCGAGCUAGAGUACGGUAGAGGAGAGUGGAAUUCCCGGUGUAGCAGUGAAAUGCGUAGAGAUCGGGAGGAACAUCAGUUGCGAAGGCGGCUCUCUGGACCAGUACUGACGCUGAGGCACGAAAGCGUGGGGAGCGAACCGG